UGUGGUAAACAGGAAGACUAGAGAAUGUCAAGUUGAACACUGGUAAUUUGUUCCCCAAUGGGUACUUGGUUUCUCUAUGAUGCUAGCUUUAGAAGUUCUCUAGAGCAGGGUCCUGUAACUCCAUAGAUCUAGGCUACUAUAGCGGAAGAUUAAGGUGCUAGAGAGGCCCGACCUUGGCCUGGCAACUUAAAAUACUAAUGAGUUGCCUUGCAGAACUGGCUGCUUUUCUCUUUAGUAGUUCCCCUUGAUAUUAUUGAUUCUCGUGGCACAUUUGAGGAUCAUUCUGAAUUUGGAGUAGGUUUUACCGAAUGAAGGUGUAGUGUCAUUUGUUUGUCACAUGCAGAAGAUACAGAUUACUCUAUUAUUUAAUUAUUAUCUUUACAAUGAACCUAUUGUUUAAAGAAAACUAGACAGUUGGUUGAGAAUAUAUUUACAGGCUCCACCUUGAGUUGCUGCCCA